rnacentral:rRNA from 1 species
UACAGAGGUGUCAAACGUUGUCCGGAAUUAUUGGGCGUAAAGGGCGCGUAGGCGGCCGGGUAAGUGAGAUGUGAAAGCUCUGGGCUCAACCCAGGAAUUGCAUUUCAUACUGCUCGGCUUGAGAUUGGUAGAGGAUGGCGGAAUUCCAGGUGUAGCGGUGAAAUGCGUAGAUAUCUGGAGGAACACCGGUGGCGAAGGCGGGUCUCUGGGCCGAUACUGACGCUGAGGAGCGAAAGCGUGGGGAGCGAACAGG